AAACGUUGUUCACUAUAAAUGACAAUAGACAAUAAACAGCAGAGAUCCUUUACUGUAGGACUGAACCUCCAUAAGGAGCUGGAAAAACUAUGAAAAUGAAGAACUCCAUUACAGCGAGUGUGAAAGAGACAGAAUGAAACUCAAACAAUGUGUGAAUUAGGAAGUGGCAGAUCGGACCACAGGAAACCAUUUAAUGCAUGGAGCAGUUUUAUGUAGAUAAAAGAACAGGUCAUUAGACCACACUCACAGUCAUGUGCAAUGUAACAUUAACAUGCAACGUGUAUAUCUCCGAGCAUGAACAAGAAUAUUUGAAAUAAAUCUUUUACAGGCUUUAAGCAUAUUUAAAGCUAAAUAUUUAAAUUCGUAGAAUUAAAUAUGUUUCAGCUUGAUUAAAAAAAUAUAUAUAUAAUCGAAACAGGACACUUGGAGACCAGAGUCCAGAUAUCAAAAUGAUAAAAGGAGUCUAUAUAAAUUUAGGACUACUGUGCAAACCAAACCACUCAUGAAAAUAUUCCAGAACAUUAUUUUCAACUGUAAAAAAAAAUGUAAAAAAAAGAAGAAGAAGAAUGGUGAUGAUUCACAAUGUAUGUAAACAAUGCAGCAGAUACUUGUGAAGGGAACAAUGCUUAAAGCUUUUUUUUAAUAUUCAAAUAAACACAAGUCAACAUGUCAUACAAAACAGAACAACAUGGAGAUGACAAAAACCACUAUACCAGCAGCCUUGACCUGACUGUAUAUACUAUAUGGAUCCAUUCAAAAUUACUGAAACAUCAAAAUAAAAAAAUGUAAAAAUAAAAAAAAUUAAAAACAUUGUAAAUGUGUGGAAACUCAGUGAUAUCAUCAGUGGUGUCAGUAAGUGCUUGUGUCUUUUGCUUGGAACAUCAGAUGCCCAUUUGACCUGCACAGCAGCGUGAGGGAAGGAUCACAGUUCUCAGAAAAAAUAAGGUAAUAUAAAAAAGCCUAUUUUUUUAAAGCUAAAAUGAUUCACUAAAAACAGGAUGCAAGUCAUUUUCUCUGUCAUCGCUGAUGUAAUCAGCUGGGUUUUGUGGAAGGAGAAGUUAAAAACUAAUCUAAAGAUAAAAACUAAUCUAAACAUAGAUUUUUUUUUUUUUUUAGUAAUACAGAAUACUAAGAAGAAAAAAAUAUUUAGUUCAAAUCUUCAUAUGGUUCAAAUUCCAUUAUCGUUAGAUUUUUAGUUCAGCUCUUAUUGAAUGCCCAAGCUCUUCUUACAAUGAAGUAUUGCUCUAGUGAGGCUUGCCAGAGAAGAUGCUCUGGAUAUUCACUGAGGUCACAGUAUAGUUCAUACCAAACACUGAAUAAUGUAAAUAAACACCUAUUUGUGUGCAAGUAAAGAUACUUUAAUGGCUGUACAUGAUGAAAUCAGAGAUUCAUCAGUGCAUCUUCACCAAACUGUACACGUGAUCUUCUGUGUUUGAGUUAACUGGUUUGUCAGGGAUUGUGCAGUACAGGUGAUAAACAUUCUUAAGGACACACAUGAAAUAAAUGUGUUAGUAUUCUGUUGAUGAUGGACGGUCAUGUGGGCUUGGGGUGUGACAGUGUUCACACAUACCUCAUUUUCCUCUGUAUUUCCCUGUUUCUGUUGUUUAUUAACCAAAACAUCUGUGAAGCAAUGCAGAAAC
ensembl:lncRNA